CUUAAUGUGGGAGCCCCUGGUUUUUUUCCCUGUGGCCGGGCUGUGCCUGGAGCCUCCAGGUGUAGAUGGAAGCUUCUGGAA
rnacentral:sRNA from 1 species